UAGGGAAUCUUCGGCAAUGGACGAAAGUCUGACCGAGCAACGCCGCGUGAGUGAAGAAGGUUUUCGGAUCGUAAAACUCUGUUGUUAGAGAAGAACAAGGACGUUAGUAACUGAACGUCCCCUGACGGUAUCUAACCAGAAAGCCACGGCUAACUACGUGCCAGCAGCCGCGGUAAUACGUAGGUGGCAAGCGUUGUCCGGAUUGAUUGGGCGUAAAGCGAGCGCAGGCGGUUUCUUAAGUCUGAUGUGAAAGCCCCCGGCUCAACCGGGGAGGGUCAUUGGAAACUGGGGGACUUGAGUGCAGAAGAGGAGAGUGGAAUUCCAUGUGUAGCGGUGAAAUGCGUAGAUAUAUGGAGGAACACCAGUGGCGAAGGCGGCUCUCUGGUCUGUAACUGACGCUGAGGCUCGAAAGCGUGGGGAGCAAACAGG
rnacentral:rRNA from 1 species